rnacentral:rRNA from 1 species
GCAUAACGCGAAGAACCUUACCUAAGCUUGACAUCCUUUUGACCGAUGCCUAAUCGCAUCUUUCCCUUUGGGGACAGAAGUGACAGGUGGUGCAUGGCUGUCGUCAGCUCGUGUCGUGAGAUGUUGGGUUAAGUCCCGCAACGAGCGCAACCCUUGCCUUUAGUUGCCAGCAUUAAGUUGGGCACUCUAGAGGGACUGCCAGGGAUAACCUGGAGGAAGGUGGGGAUGACGUCAAAUCAUCAUGCCCCUUAUGCUUAGGGCUACAUACGUGCUACAAUGGGUGGUACAGAGGGCAGCCAAGUCGUGAGGCGGAGCUAAUCCCUUAAAGCCAUUCUCAGUUCGGAUUGUAGGCUGAAACUCGCCUACAUGAAGCUGGAGUUACUAGUAAUCGCAGAUCAGAAUGCUGCGGUGAAUGCGUUCCCGGGUCUUGUACACACCG